rnacentral:rRNA from 1 species
UACGGAGGGAGCUAGCGUUGUUCGGAUAUACUGGGCGUAAAGCGCGCGUAGGCGGCUCAUCAAGUCAGGGGUGAAAGCCCGGGGCUCAACCCUGGAACUGCCUUUGAAACUAGUGAGCUAGAAUCUUGGAGAGGCGAGUGGAAUUCCGAGUGUAGAGGUGAAAUUCGUAGAUAUUCGGAAGAACACCAGUGGCGAAGGCGACUCGCUGGACAAGUAUUGACGCUGAGGUGCGAAAGCGUGGGGAGCAAACAGG